CUCUGGUGCAGAAGGUGCCAGGUGCAGGCCUGCAUCCCUGGCUCCCCUGCUCCCCCCAGUCACUACCUUUGCCAAAAGGAGUAACACCAUGCUUUCUUUGCAGCUUACUUAUACUGAAGCGCUGGCUCGCCUGUAGAUGCUGCCCAGUCUCGGGAUGUAUUGCUUUCAACACAGCCGGAGGCACAGAGAAACAGGCUGUUGGAGUUGUAAUUUGUAGGUGUUUUGGAGGGGUGCUUUUUGAGAUGAAGAUGCCUGAGUAGUUUGGAUGCCAGCACUGCCACGGAGCUCCUCCGCUGUUGAAUAGCUGCUCUCAUGCCUCUGUGCCCAGGGAGCCUUGCACUUACACAGGCAGGUGGAAACCCUCCCUUGGCAAACAUGUCGAGGGGCUGGUUCUGCAGACGCCUGCCACCAGCUGCAGUAUGUCCUGCUGUAGGUAAUGCUGCUGCCUCCUGACAUGAUUAAUAGCGCUAAGCCCCGAGCUUGAGUAACAGCUGUUGCCACGAUCAGGCCUCCAAAUGAGGUGCCAAAUAGCAACGAAGCAAGAAAGCCCCCAAACCCCAGCGAGGCCAAAAAAAAAAAACCAACCCAGAGAAAAUAAUUCUUGUUUCUGUGCCCUGGGGUGUAAAUCCAGAAAACCUCUGUGCAUCAGCAAAGUCCGCCAACAGCGUGGGUUUUCACCCUGGAUGCUCAGGACCCUUCAGAGCUGUGGGUCCUGGUGGCUCCGAGCAAGGGGGCAAAUCCCUGCCUGGCACAGGCUGCUUGUGCUGCAGCACUACCCAGGGAGCUGCAGAGGCUGCCUUUGUGUAACCAAGGUGUUUGCCGAAAAAAACAGGUGUUGUUUCUGCUGCUGGAUGUGAAUGCUGUGAGCUGUCAUCUUGGCUUUCUCUUUUUUUAUUAUUUAGAAGACAGAACAAAUACGAGAAAAUGAACUGCAAAUAAUGACUAACAGCACUUCCAGUCCAAAUAUUUGCUCACAUAAGCAUGUGGAAACUUUGAAGGCUUAUGAAUGGUUCUGGCGCUGCUUAUAAUACAGCUGGGCCCAAAGACAGUUGAGAUGCUCCUCUCCCAAUGUCAGAAGAGCCUACGGCACUGGGAGGUGUAUUCGGGGCUUCUUCCAGGUCCUCGGAGAAGUGGGGUGAUGGAAAGUCAGCGCAAUCCAAAGAUGUAGUGGUGGAUGUGCUGUGUGGGAGCAUCCCUUGAGAUCGAUGCUGCAGCCCCAGAAAUCAGUGUCUCCCUUGAACACAUCGUUUGACAUCUCUUUGCUUCCAGACAGGACUGUGCUUGCUCAGGGUGGAAUGGUGUUUCCCGGAUCUGAGACUGGGGCUGAAACCAGUAAUACCAAAUUCAUUCUUUUUUUCCCUAGUUUGAACCCUUGGAAGCUAUACCCAAUCUUCUUCCAGCCAUGCAGCCAGGAGCAGAAAGGUUGUGGCUCCUUGAGCAAAAUAGCACAAACUUGUUUAUUUCGGCGCAGGCUCAGAUGUUUCAUGGCCAACGAGGGUGCAGAAACCACAGCGUGGGGAUCUCAUUUGAUGGUGUUGCAGCUGGCUGCAUAGCCUGCCACGGGAGUUAGGAGGAGACGAGGAGCUGCCUGUGGGAGGGCUGCGUCACCAGGGACGUAUGGCCUUGUCCUGCAGGCACCACGGAGGCUGGUCCCUGGGUGAGCUUGGCAGUGACUACACACCUUCUCACCCCCAAAGCCCUUGAGCCUAUACGAGCAUCGCCCACCUCCUGGCUCACUGCAAUGACCAGCUGGGUGCAGCAAGGGGUCUGGAUGAGCACCAGCGCCGCAAUCCUCCCAAAUGCCAGGCAGCUGGGAAGUCUCCAGCUGAAACCUCUCCACUGAGCGGAGCCGAUGGGAAGCAGCUGAGACCGGUGCUUCUCUUGUCAUUAUCAUCCCCAUCACUGAAGUCAAAGGGUCAAAAAACUUCCACCCCCAUGGACUCUAUUUUGGGUUCCAGUGCUGCGUGCAGCAGCAUUCAUCUUCGUUAUAUCCAUGGCGUGCUGUCAGCACACAGACAGCAUGACUCUGCGGAAAGGCAGAUGCGGUUCGCCGUGAGCCAGUUGUUCUCCCAUUUGCACAUCCCAAAACAAGCUUCCAGCAGAGAGGGACACCUGUACAGGGGCUUCACUCUGCAGGGUCCUAGCCAAUAAACCCCCAGAGGCAACAUGUGUAGUGCACAGACUCGCAGGCUGGAUGCAAACUUAAAAGCAAGUGCAGUGUGGAGAACAAAAAUUGCACAAAAAAAAAAGAGAAGAUAUGUUAAUGGGGGAAAAAAUCAUCUCUUUCCCUCUGUUUUGUUUUAGAUGCUCAGCCAGUUCUGAAGUAACUGGAAAAAAUGGAGAAAAUUGAAAGAAUUUUUUAAUGAAUUCAGUACUCUUAAUAUUUUGAAAAGUGAAAAUCUUAGCCAGCUGAACAAAACUUUUUCCCAUUGAAAAUUUAUGCUUAGAAAAUAAAUUUAUAAGAGCAAUGUAUAAGGCAUUGUAAUGGGAAUUGGUAGGAAUACACCACUCUAUACUGCAGUAAAAUUUAAUUCUAGGUGAUUUCAGUUGUGAUCUCCAAAACAAAUCCUGAAUGCAGCUGUCAUCCCAAAAAUGCAUCUCUGUUGGAAAGCAGUUCUCACAUGGCUUCAAGCAGGUAUUUUCAAAGGCUUUAAUUCAUCAUAUGCCGGCUCUUCUGCGGAUCAGUCACGCUGCACGCGGGAGGGUGGGCAUUCACCUAGCUUCAGCCAUUCAAAAAUGAGGUUUUAAGCCUAAAUUUACUGUCAUGGUUCCCUGGUGAUUUGGAGGGAGGUUGGCACCAGCAGCACCAGCCCCUCCUGUAGCUCCCUCAGGCAAGAUGCUCUGCGUGCAGUUGACCGCGGUCAGGGGAAGGCACAGCUGCUGCCCGGUUCUUGCUGUCCCUCCUUCCGUUAGGCUUUUUUUGCUAUCUGCCCUAUCAGCACUCUGUUUACGCUAUCUGCUUAAAUACAUUUUGGCCAGGGAACGAAGUGCUAUUCCCCUCUGUAAACACUUGAUUUAGCAGUGGUUUCCUUUGACUUGCUUUAUUAUGACUUUUGCUUUGCCCGGGCGAUAAGUUAUUCAUUAUGCAUAGGCUGCAGAGACAAUUGUAUUCGUUCCUCUUCCUGCUUGUGCAAUAUUUUGACAUUUCCCUGUGUCUGUUGGAAUUCAGUCCUGUCUUUAAAUAAAUAUCUUGCCUUCCCAUGGGAAGAGCUCCAGGAGCUCCUACCUCGAUGCAGCUUUCCAGCUGUCUGAGUUUUCUUCAUCUGCAUCUUGGGUGACAGAAAUGCAGAGCAGUUGCAUUUGUUUGUUUGUGGGAUUUUUCCUUUCCUUUUUUAAGGUUAAAAAGAGCCACACCAGAUCAGGGUUCCAGCAGUUUACACCCACCAGCUUCUAUAUUUUGUUAUCUUUUAGCCAAAGAUGUUCAGUUUUCAGGUCAAAUAGCAAAUCACAGUUUUCUAAAGGGGAGGAUAGGAUAGGAUAGGAUAGGAUAGGAUAGGAAUCCCCAAGUUCAGUGAAAUGCUCUGCUAGGUAGCAGCUGGGGGAGAAUUUUUCCAACCAAGGACCAAACCAAAAGCAGUACACAGAGUGAGGAAGACAGAGUUCUGUCUUUCUCUGCAUUGUGGUUUUGGUGUUUAUGUGACGUUCUGAUUAUUCUUUGUGAGAUGUUUGGAUUUGGUGACUGUCUUGCAGGAGUUAGGAGUGCUUUUCCUUCAGCCCAGGUUUUGGUGUUUCCUAAGUACCUGGAGGGAUGUUUCAAGACAAUUUGAAGUACAGAAGGGAGGAUUUCUUCCUUGGACGUAUGGAGGUGACGCCCUGGAAGCACAGGCCGUGCUGUCCCCGGAGACCUGCAGUCCCUUCCUCACAACCUGCUGCUUCUCCUUGACCUUCAGGUGAUCCCAUGGUUAAAAGCAGCAGGUUUGAUACAUGGCGUGGUAUGCACUGCUUUUCCUGCAGCUUGAAGCAGGAGCCCCCAUCCUGAUGUGCUUCGCUGCUGCGCUGCCUCAGCUGAGAACAGGACCAAGGCUUUGGAGCAGGGUGCAAGCACAAGGAGAUGGGGUGGGAGCAGGAACGGGACCCCCAUCACCUCUCGGUCUGUGUGCUGGUCAUGUAUACACUGAAUGCCUAGAGAGCAGAGCUCUCAAGAGGGAAAGAUUUCAUCCCAAGCGCUGCUCCUUGAGCAGGCAAUCAUCUCUGCCAUAACUGCAUGGGCUCCAAAGGAAUAAAUUAAGCUAGACAGGCUCAAUCACCGCUUAUGGCAGAGGCACAGGAUUUACAGCUGCAGGCUCACGGACGCAGGAGUGCAGCGUGGUUUCAGAAACCCUCCUGCCAGAGAUCUGAGAUCAGGCAGCAAAAGGCGGCCCAGUCCCAUGGCACCCAUGCCAGGCGAGAGGAGUGGGCACAGCAGCCUGGGAUGUCCAUGGUGGUGAAGCUGAGUCUCCAAGAUGCAGAGUGGAGUCCGUGAGGCUCUGGCUGAGCCACUCAUCUCCCAGGGAACUCAAGGGCUGAAGGACCUGUCCUCAGCUACGGGCCUGGGAAGAAGCAUCUCGGAGGUGUCCAUAAAACACCAGGAGCUGCUUUCCUUGAGCAGGAUGUGACUGACGUAGAGGUUGCUGUCUCCCCAGACCAGCCCACAGGGAGCGCAGGACAAGUGAUGUGUGGCAGGAAGAUGUGCUGGCUUGGUGACAGGACAUCCCUAAAGGCUCUGAAGAAGCACAACCCACCAUCCUGGUGGGCAAGGUGCAGGGCUGCCUCUUUCAUGGUAGAGAAAGGUCUACGUCCCCAUCAGCCUGUGUCUUGCUGUACAAAAAUAACCUUUCUAGGCCAUCUGCUAGGAAUAAGCAGCCCUGAGCAUCUGCAUCCAGACUGUGGCAUCCAAAGAGCAACAUCAUGGCCACCAAAAGGGCUUGGGUCCCAAGUGUCAGCAGGAAGACAUUUGGCUGCUUUGUGCAAACAAGCAAGGGCAAAGAUGGGAAGAGGAGGUAUUUGCUUGUUCCUCACCCUUCAUGUAAUAAAAAGCAAUAACUGAGGAGAGUGGGAAGGAGCAGCACUAACAGCCUGGAUUUAUCCAGCUGUUGGAGAAAAAUCUCUACUGCUGACCUCCAGAUGAAAGUGUAGGUAACUGUUUCAGUUUUCACAGAGUAUAGCCUCAAUUCUUGAAAAAAACAAAACAAAAAAAAACAAACCACCAUUUCCAGUCUUCAGGGGAAUGAGCCGGGUCUUGAUCUAUAGCUCCAGCUUCCAAAGAGCAAAUGAAAUGCUUUCUCUUUUCAUCCACAUCCUGCAAGGACUGACCAUCAUGAAAAAUGGGAGCACCUCCUUGAAGGAGAUUACCACCACGAUUUCCUGGCUGAAACCCUGGUUUCUGGUCAAUGCUGCUGGUGUGGAUAAUGGUGCCCAAAGCCUGCUCUUGCCUUUGAGAGCCUCCUGCAUCCACCAUGUGAUGUGUGAUGGGGAGAAGGAAAGGGAGGAGAAACCAAAGGGAGAUGGUGAGUUAGGGGGAAGGAGGAGGAGGCAGAAGAGCUGGAAGAGAAGGAGAAAGAAGGAGAAGAGGAGAAGGAAGAGAAAGAAGA